CUUAGGCUAAACGUAGAAUAUUUUUAUUUUCAUUUUAGCUUGCAAAAAACCACAUUGAUAAGUAUAUGCGAAACACUUUUUUCAGAUCUGACAGCUCCUACUUUGAGCUGGUAUUCUGCUUAAUCUGGUAUGUAGCACCUGUGGGAGACCAGCGGAUAAACGGGAAGGUCGUCCUAGGCAAUAGAAUAAUCAGAGCCAGGUGGCAACAAUGAUGGUGGAACUGAUAUUGGGUGAGAGUUCGGACCUUACUGUCUUGGACCAUGGGCUCGUUAUGAGGCAUGUAAGGAGGCAACUGCCAGAAUGUGGUAUGUAGCACCUCCGGAGACCAUCGGAUAAACGGGAAGGUCGUCCCAGGCAAUAGAAUAAUCAGAGCCAGUUGGCAAAGUAAGUUUCUGAGGACACCUAGAGGCAAAGAUGUUGACGGGAGUCAUUGCCGAGUCGGGGUGGACUGUAGAGGGUAUAUAUAUACCUAGAGGUGCGAUCUCGAAUUGAAUCUAUUUUUUGAAUAUAAAAAAAACCGUUGGAAGACCAAGGGCCUUGAUAUCAAGUCUGCCUAAUGCGAGUAGGCCUAAAUCCCCUUUCAUUCAAAGGGUUGUAGAGCUCCGCCCUCAAGACUACUGGAGGG